AGACGUUGAGAUAAAGUGACCAAAGAUUUCGCUCAUCAGACACCAUUAAAAGGUGUUAAUUCAUAUCGACAGUAGGACGGUGGCCAUGGAAGUCGGAAUCCGCUAAGGAGUGUGUAACAACUCACCUACGAAUGAAUUAGCCCUGAAAAUGGAUGGCGCUUAAGCGAUACACUUAUACUCAACCAUAAAUAAUUUGUGCAGUUAUUUAUGGAGUAGGAGGGCGUAAAGAUUGAUUAGAAGCUUUACUGUGAGGUAUAGUGAAUCUUUCUUUAGUGCAGAUCUUGGUGGUAGUAGCAAAUAUUCAAUAGAGAACAUUGAAGACUGAAGUGGAGAAGGGUUUCAUGGCAAUAUCAAUUAGCCAUGAGUUAGUCGAUCCUGAACGGAGGGUUAAUUCCUUAAAACACUAAGUAAUUAGUGAUACCGUGAAAGGGAAGUAGGUUAAUAUUCCUACACCGGGUUAAGGGGGAUUUUAGUGAGGUAACUCAAAUGAUCUCAGAGAUGCC
rnacentral:rRNA from 1 species